rnacentral:rRNA from 1 species
AGAGGUCUCAAGCGUUGUUCGGAUUCAUUGGGCGUAAAGGGUGCGUAGGUGGUGACGCAAGUCUGGUGUGAAAUCUCGGAGCUUAACUCCGAAACUGCACCGGAUACUGCGUGACUCGAGGACUGUAGAGGAGAUCGGAAUUCACGGUGUAGCAGUGAAAUGCGUAGAUAUCGUGAGGAAGACCAGUUGCGAAGGCGGAUCUCUGGGCAGUUCCUGACACUGAGGCACGAAGGCCAGGGGAGCAAACGGGAUUAGAUACCCCGGUAGUCCUGGCAGUAGACGGUGCACGUUUGGUGUGGGCGGGUUCAGACCCCGUCCGUGCCGGAGCUAACGCGUUAAACGUGCCGCCUGGGAAGUACGGUCGCAAGAUUA